GUGCGCACGCGCUGCAUUCGCGAUUCUAUGAAUGGGUGGGCACAAGAGACCCCGCGCGCGCAUGCGCCGCGCUCCUUUUUUUAUGAAUGGGGGGCCGGAAAAGAACUUAACCCCUGAUUGCUGGGGCUGAUUCUAGCUCCUCCAGAGGCCGUCGUUCUUUUACAAAAAGGGGUGGAGGUUGUUGUUGCCUUUUUUUCUUUUUAAUGAAUGGAGGGCGGUGGCGACUGCAGCAGCUGGCUCAGCUGCGCGGGCUGUGCCCCCUCCCAGCCUGCGAGAGGAGGAAGCUAGUUGAGGACCUGCAUCACCAAAAUCAAGGAGUAAAUCAAGAGAGCAAACAACAUGUGAAUAACUGCAUGAAGCUCAGGUUUAAUCGCUGUCCCAGUGACUUCUGCAUUAAGGAGAAGGCAAGAUAAAGGAUCCCUUACCAGGUGGAGAAAGAGGCUUUCUGAGUAGUGAAAGACUCUGAGAAGCCAGUGGGCCGUGUGGUCUGGGAGCGCUCGGCGCGGGCCGGUGGUCGGAGCAGGGGCCACCUUGACGGACGCGGGGACGAUCGCUGUCGCGCAGCUGGCAGGGCCCGGAAACGCAGUGGGGACCAGAAAGCCCUUUCCGAAGACACGGAAGGCGGCGGAGGAGAGGAACGGCAGCGCCCCGGUCCCGGCGCAUUUGAGAAGGAAAAUGCUUGAGGUGCACGUGUGUGAGGUAUAUUUGGACACUGGAUGACGUGUGUGGUGAAAAAGACGUCUCUAUCGCUGCUCUGGGAUCCUAGGAAACCCAGACGGCCCUGAGGUGAGGUAUUUCUUGGACACUUCAUUGCCAAAUGCUGAGUGAACAAAACAGAACACUUCCUGCCUUCAUGAUGCUUACUGUGCCAUCAGGGAGACAGACAAUCAAGAUGUGGAAAGCAACCCAACCACUGAGAAUCCUGCCGUGGAUAGAAUGGUGGAGUUGCUGGGACAGAGAAGCAAAGGGAGACCCCAAGAGGGUUGCCAGGCCAGGCCCACCGGAAAUAGUGAUGUGUAAGCCCAGAUGGGAAGGGUAAGGAGCUGCCAACUGGAGAGCUGGCAGGGUCUGUAGAGCAUUGUCAGUAGAGGGGUGUGUAUGUGUGGAGUUUCCUUGGCAGAAAUGAGCUUGGCACUUUCCAGAAACAGAGGAAUCCAGAGUAGAGUAGAGAGGGAGGUGGAGAAGAGUUUGGAAGGGUAAGCAAGGUUUGAAUGUUGAAGUCUUGUAUUUUCCAAAAAGCAUACAAAAUGUAGACCUAACUCCAUUGUCUUUUUCUAUAAAGUGGCUUUAAGGACAUGUGCAGAAGCCUGGAAUAUAGUCAAUACUCAGUAAACGUUAGCUAUUUAAAGGAAAUUUUAAAGUAUUAAAUUGAUUGUGCAAAUGCCAUUUUGAGAUGGAUAGUCCCUGGCUAGAGUGGCUGGGACAGCUGACCAGGCUUGGGGCAGGUUCAUGAAUAAAAGUGGUUUCCCCAUCAGGUGAUACUUGGAUAUCCUCCUGUUGCUCUGAACUUCUAGGCCCAGGGAACCCUAGGGCCACAUGUGGGCUCCAACAACUGGGAAACUUUCUGUUUUUUUCUUUCCUUAGAUGGAGUGGGCUCUCAGCUGAACUCCCCAUUGUGGUUCUCUUUGGGGAUUGAAGUUUGUUUCAAUACAGCAAAUAUUUAUUGGACAUCUCCAAUGUUUAGGCACUGUGCUAGGUGUUGGGGAGCCAUACAGGAUCAGCCCACUCAUUCCCCCAGGGAAGGAACCGUCUAGUUGAGGACUCAGGCUGAGGUAACCACAACUCCACUUUAAUGUAGUUAAGCUGGGUUCUAUGAGACCAGAGGAAGGGUCAUAGCUCAAACUGGGGCUUCAGAGAGAAUAUUCUAGAGGCAGUGAUGCCUGAAUGACUCGUGAAGAUAAUAAGAAUUAACCAAGGAUGGGAAGAACUUUCCAGGAGGGAGGAAGAGUUACUAAGGGCUUGGGAGUGGGGGAACCACAAGCAGUUUGAUAUGAGGGAGGAAUGUACCAUGUGGGGGCUGAAACUGCAGAAUGAGACAGGGCUGGUUUGCCUUCCUGGGGAGUGUGGGAUGGAGCC